GGUGGGCUUGGCACGCAUCUGGAAUAGAUCGCUGGGAGGGAGCUGACUGCUCCUGCGCUUCCUUCCUUCCAGGAACAAACCCUGAAUCCCCGAUUCCCCAAUCCAGCUAGCCUUCAACCCUCCCGUCCGGCAGCGGCACAACGGCAGGCCGGCAGCUCAUGGAGGACGCAGGUCCGGAAGGGCGACGGCGAGAAUGAUGGGCAGCAGCGGCAACCUGGCCCAACAGCAUCUGCCGGCCGGAAGCGCCGGCGAGUCGACCUCGGCGAUUCUGGCUCGUCGGCCUCCACUUCCAGGGGGACAAGACACACAGCAUCUUUCAACAAUACUGCUCAAACAGGUCACACAGCUGUAGGUGAUUGGCAAGAGGAGAUAUAUCAAACAAUUAAGAGCUUGAAGAACCAAUACGUUGCAGAACUCAGUAGAUUGUUCAAUAAGGUGUCUGUAGCUGUACAUCAUGCUGAUAGCAUCAUACCACCUCAACAACCACCUCAAAAUUGAAGAGCUUUAAAAUAAUGGUGGAAUGUAUAUUAUGAUUUCUGCAAAUUAGCAAGAGUAAUAUCCAACCUGCCAUGAGGGACAAAGUUCCUUUAUACGAGAAACAGAUCAUCAGUAUCUUGAAUUCACAGAGAAGGGAACCAGCGCAGGCACAAGUACAGCAUGCAGGUGCAAAUGAACCCUUAUAAAGAUUAAACUGAAGAGUACCAGGCUUACACUACGCAAGAGAUUGAACUCCAAUGAAAAGCAGGCUCGACUGCAUUUUCGUAAAAAAAACAGUGGUGACCAUCAGACUUCAUCAGAAAAGUUCUGGGCAUUAUUGUCAUUGGUUUUGUUCUGACAGGGGAGGAGUAAUUUGAAUCGGGGCAAUAUGGAGUUUUUGUCGGGAAUAUUUGCUGCAACUACAAAUGCACCACGGGUAAUACUCCUGAAAGUGGUCGAAACUGUUGCUUGUCUUAUACUGUCAGCUCCAUGCACUCUUCUUAUCUCUAUGCUUUACCAUUUUAGGAUUUAUACAGUGUGUACACUUCAAAGUUUGCAACGAGAAAAGUCCAUAUAUUUCUAUGCUGUCAGUUAAAUUUUUCCUUGAUAAAUGCGAUGUUGUUUCUAUUAAAUAACAAAGGAGGUACAGGUGUAUGAA